UUGAAAACAGAAGAGAAAUGGAAAAGAAGGAGCACAUAGAAAUGGAAUGGAAAAUCCUGAGACAGUUGUCCAAGCAGAGCAGCAUGAGAGAAUUUGCACAUGAAGACGUUACCGCCUUCCACCAUUUGCCCCUGCUUUGAGCGUUCGCUACACUUCACUCGUUUCUUCGCAUUUUCUCUUCCUUGAGGAGAGAAUGCUGAUAAUUUGGUGGCUUAGAUAUCUAUGUGUGCCUUGAGGUAGAUGCUUGGAAUUAAAUUCAGUUGAUCUGUCAGGAAGAAUGUUGCAAAAAUUCUUUCAUCUUCAAAGGCCUAGAUAUGGGGGCCAUUAAAGCGAUGUCAUUAUCAGAAUUGAAUACCAACUAUAUAGAAGUAGCUAUACAGCAUUUUCCAGAUGGAAGGUGCUGCUGCCUGUGUACACAUUUUGAAGAUUUUUUUUCUGCCAAAGGAAUGUCUUGCGCCAACAGGUUUUCGCAAGUUGAACGGCUGGAUAAACUGGGACUGAAUGUCUGCUAUAUAAAAUAGGUGAGUUCCAUAAACUUGUUGUGACUGACUGAUGAAUGAUCCUCCUCAAUGGUUGGACGAGAGUUUCAAUAUCCAAUGCUUCACCAUAUUCAGUGUAUGCUGUCUUAAGCCAUCCACAAAGAUCUUACAUGAGGUAAAUGUUGUUUAGUUGCCAUUGCCGAAAAAGUAUUCCAGUUCCUAUCAACUGGCUAUGAAAAUAUAUAUGAUUGAGUAAUAUGUUGCUAUCAGCUUAUUCGCUAUCAUCCGAUAUAUUGUCUUUCAAAUUUUGUGGCCUCUAAUACUAAAAUGUAUGCGAUGGCGCAUUUAAAGUAAUUCAAUCCAGAUUACUUACUGCUCCCUAUAUAUGCUUCCAUUCUUGAUUCAGAGUGAGAUGUCAAAUGUUAUCUAGCUAGGUCAGUGUUGUCGAGUUGUUUUUAUCAAGU